GAUGAACGCUGGCGGCGUGCCUAAUACAUGCAAGUCGAGCGAACAGACGAGGAGCUUGCUCCUCUGACGUUAGCGGCGGACGGGUGAGUAACACGUGGAUAACCUACCUAUAAGACUGGGAUAACUUCGGGAAACCGGAGCUAAUACCGGAUAAUAUAUUGAACCGCAUGGUUCAAUAGUGAAAGACGGUUUUGCUGUCACUUCUAGAUGGAUCCGCGCCGCAUUAGCUAGUUGGUAAGGUAACGGCUUACCAAGGCAACGAUGCGUAGCCGACCUGAGAGGGGGAUCGGCCACACUGGAACUGAGACACGGUCCAGACUCCUACGGGAGGCAGCAGUAGGGAAUCUUCCGCAAUGGGCGAAAGCCUGACGGAGCAACGCCGCGUGAGUGAUGAAGGUCUUCGGAUCGUAAAACUCUGUUAUUAGGGAAGAACAAAUGUGUAAGUAACUAUGCACGUCUUGACGGUACCUAAUCAGAAAGCCACGGCUAACUACGUG
rnacentral:rRNA from 1 species